AGGAGCGAGCAAUUUCUCUCAACCCUCUGAUGUUCGACAUGUAUACUCCGCUUCUGAUUCUGUGCUACAUGCAUAUUUUGAAAGUUGUAGGGUCCAUCAUGCCGGAGGACUCAACAGUGAUCCAGUAUCCCCCUGUUGUUGAGGAGGUAGUUGGCGGCAACAUCACCAUGAACUGCAUUCUGGAAGGGUUGACUUCUUACUGUUAUACCGUCGCCUGGAUAAGACUGCCCAAACAACCCGGGGCGCUGCGAGUCCUCAAGAACACCAUUAUCAACACCAGAUCUGAGUAUGAAAUCUUCAAGCAUAUGUGCCCAGUGUCCAUCUACAACGUAGCUGUCACCGACUCUGGGAUUUACUACUGUGCUGUCAUAUAUGGCCAGCAGAUCUACUUAGGCAACGGCACCACAGUGAUUGUUAAAGAUGGAACCAAAGCUCCUCCAACCAUUGAAAUCCUGAAACCGCUGAACAGCUACCAUUCCUCUGUCUCUCUCCUGUGUUUGGUGUCAGGAGUGGUCCCGUCUCAAGUCCAUGUGUUCUGGCUCAUAGACGGGAGAGAGGACAGUGGACUUACUGAGUCCACCUGGACAGACAACAGUGAUUCAGCCACAGAGUUCACUAGGAACCAGAUUCUGGUCAAAGCAGAGGAGUGGGACAGAGGAGCAGAAUGCACGUGUGUGGUAGAGUUCGAAGGGCAGUACAUCAACAAAACCGUGCAACACAAUGAUUUCUCCACAAUGUGUUACGCCAUAGUGAGUCUCUACAGGGUUCUGGGAAUUGUGUCCGCUCUUCUUCUUCUCCUUACACUGACUGCACGGGUACAGCUAUCCUGCAAGAGCAACAAUUCAGGCAAGCGUAAAAAAAGCAACAGAAACCCCCCAAACUAAAGAAAAGGAGAGCUUUGGGAUUCUGUCUUCAUUGUGAAAACUGCAGGAAACCAACAUUCAGAAUUUGAGGGCUUUGAGUGAAUCAGAGUGCUUCAUACCAACUAGGAAGACGUUAAGUAUGUAGUACGUUUUCACUGGGUGUCGAAAGGCUAUAGAAUUUUUAAGUGACUUCUUAUAAAAAAAAUCCUUUUCACUUUGCUUUUGAUUUCAUUACAUGAAAAUUGUCAGAUAAGCAAUAUGCAUAAAAAAUAAAAUGUGUUGGAAUAGCCCAAUUCUUCCAUAAAGUGAUAUCCUGAAAGUACUGUAGUGAUUAAAUGUUUUUUUUCCCCUCAUCUUGUGUCACCAUCUCAAAACAUCCAGUAGAUAUCAGUGUUUACUCAAAAUCUACAACCUACCCUUCCUGUCACUUGUGCGUCCAUUGUAGUGACACUGAUUGAAUGAAGAAUAGCGCCGAAGGAGAUGGCUGCCAUUUUAUAAUCCCAUAACCAAUUGUGCUAUUGUGUAUACUUUUUUGAGCUAUUUGUAACUUUUUAAAAAGUAAGCAUUUCACUGUCAGGUAUUCGGCACAUGUGACAAAUUAAAUUUGAUUUGAGAUAUUCUAAAACAUCCGGUAGAAAACUCCAUUAACCAAGUUGUCUGCAUCAACAUUUAAACAAACUAGCCAUCAUUUUUUUUACAAAGUUUUUAUUUCUGUGAUGGGUCUACAUUGCCCCAUGCUGUAUCAUAGUGUAAAAGUGUUUAAUUGUGUUUUUUAUUUUUUACAGUUGACUAAAAUCAGUGUAACCUUUUAUUUAACAAAAAUGACUACUGUACUUUGUAUUGAGAGUAUUAACAUUUCAUUACCUAAAUGGGAAUACUUUUGUUCAGUCUUGCCAUUACUUACUUGAUUUUACCAUGACUUAAUCCAAAUGCAUCAUUUUCAUUAAUUAGCCAGGGUGAUUUAUUUUCCAUUCAGGACUAAGCAGCAGCAUAACUAUUUUCCAACCCUUUAAAAUAAUGUUGUUGUGGAAAAAUGAACUGAUACAAUAAUAACAGUACAUUCCGUCUAUUUUCUGAGUUUCAUUGAUAUCGUCAAAGCUGCUGAGGUUAAGUGAUAGCUGAUAGAAUAUCACGAAAGUACAAAGGUUCAUCUCUCAUAAUGUGCUAUUGGGUGAAAAAAAAGCCUGCAAAUAGAAUUUGCUAGUGGUUUGUUCAUAGCAAGGAACAGAUUUGACCAAAGCUGUGUCUGUCCAUAAGCAUAUCAUACUGAGAAUACCACACCUCGCAAAGAGAGCGAUAGAUAGAUUGAGUGUGUGUGCAGGAGAGCGUUAGGCAGCUAAAGCUUAAACUACUGUGGUAUGUGGUCAGUUUCUGUUCUGAAGGCUACAGUCCUGCACCUGUCACACUUUUUCAUAUGUUACACAAUCUGCAGUCUGUGCCGGAUCAAACAACUCACAAGUGUCAAAAACAGUGAGCCUUCUCAUUUUGGUCAGAGAAACAGGCCGUCCAGAGUUCGUCAAAGUGCGUUUCAGAUUGAGAAUUUGAAUGUAUUUUUUUUAGCAUUCAAGCACCGUUUUUAAACAUGUGUUCAAAUACAUAGGCAGUGUUGGCACCAACAGUUCCAGGAAAAUUGUAAAUUAGAUAAGAGGUAAUGAAAGAGGUAAUAAAAUGAAAACAAAGAAAACAAGAUAUUAAUUUACAAUUAAUCCCUGAGGGUGAGAUAGGAUAGCUAAGAACACUUAUUUCCAAUGUGGUCCUCUGUGUAGGACAAAACCAGGACAAGGUCAAAUUCUGUCGUUCUGCCCCUGAACAACCCACUGUUCCUAGGCCGUCAUUGAAAAUAAGACUUUGUUCUUAUUAACUGACUUGCCUCGUUAAAUAAAGGUACAAAAUAAAUAAAAAUACACAGGAAAACACAUGGGCCUAUAAGCAGCCAAUUAGCCUACACCACAAUAAAUACAUCAUCAAUACAAAAUUCAAGACUAUUUCAGUAAUUUUCCUAUGUAGGCUUGUACACGUUUUCCCACGGAAGGGCUCUAACCUGACCUCUGAAAACAUUUUAGGACUGGGACAGUUUAAUGACUAUUAGGAGGAUUUCCCACAGUUGAAUUACAAUAUUUUAAAAAGAGCUCUGUGUCGCUCUGGGCACUUAGCAAUUGGGGACACUGGCUCUUGCUUUAUACACAAAUACAUACAUAAUAAUCUGAAAACUCUUAUGCAAUUUCUCCUUCCAAAAUAUUAUUGGAUAAUUGUAUUUGGGCGUCUCCCAAACUGGAUGUGGUCCAAAGUCGCAUACUGGACCUCCUGUGGAACGAUCAACACCAGGGAGUUCAUUAUAGGAACAUUUGUUUCUCAAGGAAUCAGAAAUAGGUAUAGCUGUUGCUGUUGCUUUAAAUACAAAAAUGCUUUAACACUUCAUGUGGACUGAAUUGGGGCAGCAAUACUGCAAAUGUAAACCAGGGUCUCAUUUGUUACUAUUCACACCAUAGAAAGGAUAGUCAGUCAAUCUCAAUCAAUACAUUCACAAUGAAGGUAACUGAGUAAUAAUCUAAAACAAUCCUUCUAGGGGUGAGAGUAGGUUUAGCCUCAUUUCAUUGGAGUUUGUUAACAAAUGUAAUCCAUAUAAAAAUGCCAAUCUGUAUUUUACACAAACCACAAGGUAUAUCGCCAAUAAGUACUGUAAUUACACUAUACUUACCAAGUAAUACGCCAGUAUGAGAAAUGAGAAAUUUUCAGAGCAGUAUGUUCGGAUCAUAACACUACGGCCAGGAACCACACCCUAAUAGGGUAUCCCCCCUUAAUCAUAUCACAAUAAACUCUUACCAGUUGAAUGUGGACACAAAUAAGCCUUUCUGUUUUACAACUUUUCUGAAAUCUUGUGUACAAAUAUGCAAAUGAAGUGGUAACUUAUUAAAUAUGCAUAUAUUUGCAUAUCACGCAAAUACAUUUUUCUGGACAGUGGAUAAAGUCAGCCUAAAUAUUUUGGUUUCAUUUUGUUAGGACAAUCCAGGACUGGACUUACACACAGCCGAUUGUAAAUAAAUACUUUAUUUCAUCUUUCUAUUUGUAAAAUAC